rnacentral:rRNA from 1 species
AAUAGAUACCCGGGUAGUCCACGCCGUAAACGAUGAGUGCUAAGUGUUAGGGGGUUUCCACCCCUUAGUGCUGCAGCUAACGCAUUAAGCACUCCGCCUGGGGAGUACGGUCGCAAGACUGAAACUCAAAGGAAUUGACGGGGGCCCGCACAAGCGGUGGAGCAUGUGGUUUAAUUCGAAGCAACGCGAAGAACCUUACCAGGUCUUGACAUCCCGGUGACCGCUCUAGAGAUAGAGCUUUCCCUUCGGGGACAGCGGUGACAGGUGGUGCAUGGUUGUCGUCAGCUCGUGUCGUGAGAUGUUGGGUUAAGUCCCGCAACGAGCGCAACCCUUGUUCUUAGUUGCCAUCAUUCAGUUGGGCACUCUAAGGAGACUGCCGCAGACAAUGCGGAGGAAGGUGGGGAUGACGUCAAAUCAUCAUGCCCCUUAUGACCUGGGCUACACACGUGCUACAAUGGACGGUACAAACGGUUGCUAAGUCGCGAGACGGAGCUAAUCCGAGAAAACCGUUCUCAGUUCGGAUUGCAGG